rnacentral:rRNA from 1 species
AGACAGCAGUAGCCGCGGGAAUACGUAGGUGGCAAGCGUUAUCCGGAAUUAUUGGGCGUAAAGCGCGCGUAGGCGGUUUUUUAAGUCUGAUGUGAAAGCCCACGGCUCAACCGUGGAGGGUCAUUGGAAACUGGAAAACUUGAGUGCAGAAGAGGAAAGUGGAAUUCCAUGUGUAGCGGUGAAAUGCGCAGAGAUAUGGAGGAACACCAGUGGCGAAGGCGACUUUCUGGUCUGUAACUGACGCUGAUGUGCGAAAGCGUGGGGAUCAAACAGGAUUAGAUACCCCAGUAGUCCCUGUCUCUUAUAA